GUGAUGCUCAUGUCAUCUGAAGUGAUGUUCCAUCAAUGAAAUCUCCUCCCGUUCAAUUGACGCACUACACCCGCUCCCUACGCGCCACCUGACUUGGAUAACAAAAGCAGUAAAAGCUUCUAGUGCACCGGAAGUGACCCAUCAUGCAGCCGGAAGUGAUGCCCUUGCCACCUGAAGUGAUGUUCCAUCAACGAUUCCUCCUCCCGUUCCAUUGACGGAGUCCUACACACUGUCUCUUCGCACCAGCUGGAUUGGCUUCUUCUGCACCGGAAGUGACCCAUCAUGCAACCGGAAGUGAUGCCCUUGCCACCUGAAGUGAUGUUCCAUCAAUUAUUCCUCCUCCCGUUCCAUUGACGGAGUCCUACACCCUGUCUCUUCGCACCAGCUGGAUUGGGUAACAAAAGCAGUAAAAGAUGAGUUUCUUUUUACCCCACUUCUAUGUAAUUGAAAUUGUUUGAAAUCUACCAAACUAUUUCACGUUUUCAGUUAA